UUUUUGAUUUGAAAUUAAAUUCAAUUAUUUUACACAAUAUACUUUCCAGUAUUCAAAUAAUUGUUUUGUACACUACUUUGUAAUAUUUUUCACUGAAAACAUAGCAUUUAGGUGUAUUUUCCGGAAUUUGCCGAGUAUCACCGGAAUACCAUGUAAUAACGUUACGGAAAGGCAUGUGAUAACAAUCGAAGCAUGUGAUAAACUUUUCAUAUCAGCCCGCUAAGCACCAAUUCGAAAAAUAUGGAAAAUACUUUAAUUUAAUGCUA
rnacentral:lncRNA from 1 species